AAUAGAUACCCAGGUAGUCCACGCCGUAAACGAUGAGUGCUAAGUGUUAGGGGGUUUCCGCCCCUUAGUGCUGCAGCUAACGCAUUAAGCACUCCGCCUGGGGAGUACGGUCGCAAGACUGAAACUCAAAGAAAUUGACGGGGGCCCGCACAAGCGGUGGAGCAUGUGGUUUAAUUCGAAGCAACGCGAAGAACCUUACCAGGUCUUGACAUCCCGUUGACCACUAUGGAGACAUGGUUUUCCCUUCGGGGACAACGGUGACAGGUGGUGCAUGGUUGUCGUCAGCUCGUGUCGUGAGAUGUUGGGUUAAGUCCCGCAACGAGCGCAACCCUUGUUCUUAGUUGCCAUCAUUUAGUUGGGCACUCUAAGGAGACUGCCGGUGACAAACCGGAGGAAGGUGGGGAUGACGUCAAAUCAUCAUGCCCCUUAUGACCUGGGCUACACACGUGCUACAAUGGACGGUACAAACGGUUGCCAACCCGCGAGGGGGAGCUAAUCCGAUAAAACCGUUCUCAGUUCGGAUUGUAGGCUGCAACUCGCCUACAUGAAGCC
rnacentral:rRNA from 1 species